UACGUAGGUGGCAAGCGUUGUCCGGAUUUACUGGGCGUAAAGAGCGCGCAGGCGGUCGUUCAAGUCGCGUGUGAAAGCCCCCGGCUCAACUGGGGAGGGUCACGCGAUACUGAUCGACUCGAAGGCAGGAGAGGGUAGUGGAAUUCCCGGUGUAGUGGUGAAAUGCGUAGAUAUCGGGAGGAACACCAGUGGCGAAGGCGGCUCGCUGGGACGGUACUGACGCUGAGACGCGAAAGCGUGGGGAGCGAACAGG
rnacentral:rRNA from 1 species